AAAUUCAAUUUUUCCAAGUGUAAUCUAAUCGAUCAGGAUUGUGGACUCUACAAAAAUCAUUACGUUGAGCAAGUAGUUCUGUGUCGGGUUCAUAUUCA